AACCAAAUAGAUAAAGUUAUAUUUUAAUGGUAAAAAGAUAGUUAGACAUAAAUAUUAAGUUUAUAAAAUACUUAUAAAGAGGUAGAAUUUGAAUAUAAGUAUUUAGUUUUUUAAUGACUAAAAGGUUGAAUCUGUGAUAACUUUGAGGGAAACUGGGAUUAGAUACCCCAUUAUUCUUAGUUGUAAAUUAAGUAUACUUACCAGAGUACUAUGAAUUUAAAGAUUUGAAACUCAAAGGGCUUGGCGGUGUUUUAGACCAUUUAGGGGAACCUGUCUCAUAAUCGACAAUCCACGUUAGACCUAACUUUCAUUUGCUAAAUCAGUUUAUAUACCGUCGUCGUCAGGUAACUUUUUAAAAAAGAAUAGUUAGCAAUAAAAAUUAAAUUAAGUUGAUACGUCAGAUCAAGGUGUAGCUUAUGUGAGAGUGAAGAUGGGUUACAAUUAUAGAGUUAUAAUAACGAAUGGUAAAAUGAAAUUUUACUGAUGAAGGAGGACUUAAAAGUAAAGUAAAUUAUAUAAACAAUUUGAAUGUGGCUCUGAAACGUGU
rnacentral:rRNA from 1 species